rnacentral:lncRNA from 1 species
AAGAUAUGAAAAGAGCGUAUGAUUUUUCAGGUAGAAAGGUUAUUUUUCUUUUUCCCUAGUCUCAUAAUUAAGCGUGUAUUAUCUAGACCAGGGUGUGUGAGUUGUAUUAGUUAGUUGGGUAAGGAGAGUAUUAAAAGCCCAAUCUGUUUAAAAUAGUCGGGUCAUUAAAUUAUACAAGUUGACACCAAACAGCUGACAUGUUCUAUUUACUCAUAUCCAAAGUCUAAUACGAGUGUACCAAAUGAACCCUUAACUGCCAAACUAUAAAAGCCUCUGUUAGUUUCUUUAAUUUCCUUUUAGUCUUUGCAAUUUUUGAUGUUAUACUGGUUCUCUAUUUCUUUCUAGUCUAUAGAUUCUUUCACCUUUUUUUUUCUUUUCUUUUUUCUUUUUUUGGCUUUGUUUGAUAUUUUGGUUGAACCAUUGGCAAGUGUUAUUGCUAACUAAGUGUUAUUGUUUUCUAGUUGAAUUCGAUAACAUGUGGUGAAAAUGUAGGUUUUUUAAUUUGUAUGUAGAUUUGUUUUUCAUAGCCAAUUUAGUCCUUGUAGCUUUUUCCCAAACUCUUUGUAGUCGUGAGGAAUCUGGAUCAUGUGGAUAACCUCUCCCUCUCACUCCCUGCCUCUUACCAUUUCCUUUUCCUCAAAACAAUCCAAGCCUAUGUUUGAAUACUCUAAAUUAGUAUAAGUGAGGUGUUAAUUUGCAUGUAUAAGUUUAUGUAAAUCUCUAUCUCGAACAAAGUACAGGUUGCUUGACAUCUAUGUAUUUGGAUAGAAUCCUUGGUAGAAAAAGUACAUCAAUGUGCUCAUAUGUCAUAGGAAAGAAAUAACUAAAUGUGUUGGCG